AUUGAACGCUGGCGGCAGGCCUAACACAUGCAAGUCGAGCGAGUGGCGGACGGGUGAGUAAUGUCUGGGCAACUGCCUGAUGGAGGGGGAUAACUCCUGGAAACGGUAGCUAAUACAGCAUACCAUCAGAUGUGCCCAGAUGGGAUUAGCUAGUAGGUGGGGAAACGGCUCACCUAGGCGACGAUCCCUAGCUGGUCUGAGAGGAUGACCAGCCACACUGGAACGUAGACACGGUCCAGACUCCUACGGGAGGCAGCAGUGGGGAAGAUUGCACAAUGGGCGCAAGCCUGAUGCAGCCAUGCCGCGUGUAUGAAGAAGGCCUUCGGGUUGUAAAGCACUUUCAGCGUGGAGGCGUUACUCGCAGAAGAAGCACCGGCUAACUCCGUGCCAGCAGCCGCGGUAAUAC
rnacentral:rRNA from 1 species